rnacentral:rRNA from 1 species
UGACUGCGUACCUUUUGUAUAAUGGGUCAGCGACUUAUAUUCUGUAGCAAGGUUAACCGUAUAGGGGAGCCGUAGGGAAACCGAGUCUUAAUUGGGCGUUAAGUUGCAGGGUAUAGACCCGAAACCCGGUGAUCUAGCCAUGGGCAGGUUGAAGGUUGGGUAACACUAACUGGAGGACCGAACCGACUAAUGUUGAAAAAUUAGCGGAUGACCUGUGGCUGGGGGUGAAAGGCCAAUCAAACCGGGAGAUAGCUGGUUCUCCCCGAAAGCUAUUUAGGUAGCGCCUCGUGAAUUCAUCUCCGGGGGUAGAGCACUGUUUCGGCUAGGGGGCCAUCCCGGCUUACCAACCCGAUGCAAACUGCGAAUACCGGAGAAUGUUAUCACGGGAGACACACGGCGGGUGCUAACGUCCGUCGUGAAGAGGGAAACAACCCAGACCGCCAGCUAAGGUCCCAAAGUCAUGGUUAAGUGGGAAACGAUGUGGGAAGGCCCAGACAGCCAGGAUGUUGGCUUAGAAGCAGCCAUCAUUUAAAGAAAGCGUAAUAGCUCACUGGUCGAGUCGGCCUGCGCGGAAGAUGUAACGGGGCUAAACCAUGCACCGAAGCUGCGGCAGCGAACGUAUCACCCAAGACAACUUUACGGAGUUGACGAUUGACGGAGCGAAGCGACGUCAAAGCGUUCAUUAAAGUCGAGUUGGCUUAGGGAUACGUUCGUUGGGUAGGGGAGCGUUCUGUAAGCCUGUGAAGGUGUGUCGUGAGGCAUGCUGGAGGUAUCAGAAGUGCGAAUGCUGACAUAAGUAACGAUAAAGCGGGUGAAAAGCCCGCUCGCCGGAAGACCAAGGGUUCCUGUCCAACGUUAAUCGGGGCAGGGUGAGUCGACCCCUAAGGCGAGGCCGAAAGGCGUAGUCGAUGGGAAACGGGUUAAUAUUCCCGUACUUGGUGUUACUGCGAAGGGGGGACGGAGAAGGCUAUGUUGGCCGGGCGACGGUUGUCCCGGUUUAAGCGUGUAGGUGUGUGUUCCAGGUAAAUCCGGUUCACUUUAACACUGAGGCGUGACGACGAGGCACUACGGUGCUGAAGCAACAAAUGCCCUGCUUCCAGGAAAAGCCUCUAAGCAUCAGGUAACACGAAAUCGUACCCCAAACCGACACAGGUGGUCAGGUAGAGAAUACCAAGGCGCUUGAGAGAACUCGGGUGAAGGAACUAGGCAAAAUGGUGCCGUAACUUCGGGAGAAGGCACGCUGACACGUAGGUGAAGUGAUUUACUCAUGGAGCUGAAGUCAGUCGAAGAUACCAGCUGGCUGCAACUGUUUAUUAAAAACACAGCACUGUGCAAACACGAAAGUGGACGUAUACGGUGUGACGCCUGCCCGGUGCCGGAAGGUUAAUUGAUGGGGUCAGCGCAAGCGAAGCUCCUGAUCGAAGCCCCGGUAAACGGCGGCCGUAACUAUAACGGUCCUAAGGUAGCGAAAUUCCUUGUCGGGUAAGUUCCGACCUGCACGAAUGGCGUAAUGAUGGCCAGGCUGUCUCCACCCGAGACUCAGUGAAAUUGAACUCGCUGUGAAGAUGCAGUGUACCCGCGGCAAGACGGAAAGACCCCGUGAACCUUUACUAUAGCUUGACACUGAACAUUGAGCCUUGAUGUGUAGGAUAGGUGGGAGGCUUUGAAGUGUGGACGCCAGUCUGCAUGGAGCCGACCUUGAAAUACCACCCUUUAAUGUUUGAUGUUCUAACGUGGACCCGUAAUCCGGGUUGCGGACAGUGUCUGGUGGGUAGUUUGACUGGGGCGGUCUCCUCCUAAAGAGUAACGGAGGAGCACGAAGGUUGGCUAAUCCUGGUCGGACAUCAGGAGGUUAGUGCAAUGGCAUAAGCCAGCUUGACUGCGAGCGUGACGGCGCGAGCAGGUGCGAAAGCAGGUCAUAGUGAUCCGGUGGUUCUGAAUGGAAGGGCCAUCGCUCAACGGAUAAAAGGUACUCCGGGGAUAACAGGCUGAUACCGCCCAAGAGUUCAUAUCGACGGCGGUGUUUGGCACCUCGAUGUCGGCUCAUCACAUCCUGGGGCUGAAGUAGGUCCCAAGGGUAUGGCUGUUCGCCAUUUAAAGUGGUACGCGAGCUGGGUUUAGAACGUCGUGAGACAGUUCGGUCCCUAUCUGCCGUGGGCGCUGGAGAACUGAGGGGGGCUGCUCCUAGUACGAGAGGACCGGAGUGGACGCAUCACUGGUGUUCGGGUUGUCAUGCCAAUGGCACUGCCCGGUAGCUAAAUGCGGAAGAGAUAAGUGCUGAAAGCAUCUAAGCACGAAACUUGCCCCGAGAUGAGUUCU